UACGUAGGGUGCAAGCGUUAAUCGGAAUUACUGGGCGUAAAGCGUGCGCAGGCGGUUGUGCAAGUCAGGUGUGAAAUCCCCGGGCUUAACCUGGGAACUGCACUUGUGACUGCAAGGCUAGAGUACGGCAGAGGGGGAUGGAAUUCCGCGUGUAGCAGUGAAAUGCGUAGAUAUGCGGAGGAACACCGAUGGCGAAGGCAAUCCCCUGGGCCUGUACUGACGCUCAUGCACGAAAGCGUGGGGAGCAAACAGG
rnacentral:rRNA from 1 species